UGCAGUCGAACGAUGAAGCCUAGCUUGCUGGGUGGAUUAGUGGCGAACGGGUGAGUAACACGUGAGUAACCUGCCCUUGACUCUGGGAUAAGCGCUGGAAACGGCGUCUAAUACCGGAUAUGACCUGCCCCGGCAUCGGGUGUGGGUGGAAAGUUUUUCGGUCAAGGAUGGACUCGCGGCCUAUCAGCUUGUUGGUGAGGUAAUGGCUCACCAAGGCGACGACGGGUAGCCGGCCUGAGAGGGUGACCGGCCACACUGGGACUGAGACACGGCCCAGACUCCUACGGGAGGCAGCAGUGGGGAAUAUUGCACAAUGGGCGAAAGCCUGAUGCAGCAACGCCGCGUGGGGGAUGACGGCCUUCGGGUUGUAAACCUCUUUUAGUAGGGAAGAAGGGCUUCGGCUUGACGGUACCUGCAGAAAAAGCACCGGCUAACUACGUGCCAGCAGCCGCGGUAAUACGUAGGGUGCAAGCGUUGUCCGGAAUUAUUGGGCGUAAAGAGCUCGUAGGCGGUUUGUCGCGUCUGCUGUGAAAACCCGAGGCUCAACCUCGGGCCUGCAGUGGGUACGGGCAGACUAGAGUGCGGUAGGGGAGAAUGGAAUUCCUGGUGUAGCGGUGGAAUGCGCAGAUAUCAGGAGGAACACCGAUGGCGAAGGCAGUUCUCUGGGCCGUUACUGACGCUGAGGAGCGAAAGCGUGGGGAGCGAACAGGAUUAGAUACCCUGGUAGUCCACGCCGUAAACGUUGGGAACUAGAUGUGGGGGCCUUUCCACGGUCUCCGUGUCGCAGCUAACGCAUUAAGUUCCCCGCCUGGGGAGUACGGCCGCAAGGCUAAAACUCAAAGGAAUUGACGGGGGCCCGCACAAGCGGCGGAGCAUGCGGAUUAAUUCGAUGCAACGCGAAGAACCUUACCAAGGCUUGACAUAUACCGGAAACUUCCAGAGAUGGUUGCCCCGCAAGGUCGGUAUACAGGUGGUGCAUGGUUGUCGUCAGCUCGUGUCGUGAGAUGUUGGGUUAAGUCCCGCAACGAGCGCAACCCUCGUUCUAUGUUGCCAGCACGUUAUGGUGGGAACUCAUAGGAGACUGCCGGGGUCAACUCGGAGGAAGGUGGGGAUGACGUCAAAUCAUCAUGCCCCUUAUGUCUUGGGCUUCACGCAUGCUACAAUGGCCGGUACAAAGGGCUGCGAUACCGUAAGGUGGAGCGAAUCCCAAAAAGCCGGUCUCAGUUCGGAUUGAGGUCUGCAACUCGACCUCAUGAAGUCGGAGUCGCUAGUAAUCGCAGAUCAGCAACGCUGCGGUGAAUACGUUCCCGGGCCUUGUACACACCGCCCGUCAAGUCAUGAAAGUCGGUAACACCCGAAGCCAGUGGCCUAACCGUAAGG
rnacentral:rRNA from 1 species